UAUCAUGAAAACAUAUGGUCUAAUUUAACUACUAGUUUUCAAUGGUUGAUGCUUGGUUUACUUUGAUCAGGAAUAUUACUUUUGAAGAUCUGGAGGAUGAGGGCAUCCUGCAAAGGGCUUGGGAAGGUCUUAUUCCAAACCGUAUUUUGAUUUAUUACUUAGAACAUGAGAUUGAUGAUGAAAUUAGAACUCCAAGUAGAAACCACAUAAAGUUCCCAGAUGAUGGACAAAAUAAGGAAAGACAAGCAUUAGAGCUA